GAUGAACGCUGGCGGCGUACCUAAUACAUGCGAGUCGAGCGAACAGACGAGGAGCUUGCUCCUCUGACGUUAGCGGCGGACGGGUGAGUAACACGUGGAUAACCUACCUAUAAGACUGGGAUAACUUCGGGAAACCGGAGCUAAUACCGGAUAAUAUAUUGAACCGCAUGGUUCAAUAGUGAAAGACGGUUUUGCUGUCACUUAUAGAUGGAUCCGCGCCGCAUUAGCUAGUUGGUAAGGUAACGGCUUACCAAGGCAACGAUGCGUAGCCGACCUGAGAGGGUGAUCGGCCACACUGGAACUGAGACACGGUCCAGACUCCUACGGGAGGCAGCAGUAGGGAAUCUUCCGCAAUGGGCGAAAGCUUGACGGAGCAACGCCGCGUGAGUGAUGAAGGUCUUCGGAUCGUAAAACUCUGUUAUUAGGGAAGAACAAAUGUGUAAGUAACUAUGCACGUCUUGACGGUACCUAAUCAGAAAGCCACGGCUAACUACGUG
rnacentral:rRNA from 1 species